AUCCCUUCUUGACCUUUUGGCUAAGAUCAAGUGUUGUAUCUGUUCUUACCAGUUUAAUAUCUGAUAUGUCCUCUAUCUGAGGAUAUUAAAUGCAUUUUUGGAGCAUGAGGAUGGAAUAGGAGCUUGCUCUGUCCACUCUGUACAUUGAGCAGGUAUUGCAGUACUUCUGGGAAUGGUGCAUCCCCU